GAUGAACGCUGGCGGCGUGCCUAAUACAUGCAAGUCGAGCGAACAGACGAGGAGCUUGCUCCUCUGACGUUAGCGGCGGACGGGUGAGUAACACGUGGAUAACCUACCUAUAAGACUGGGAUAACUUCGGGAAACCGGAGCUAAUACCGGAUAAUAUAUUGAACCGCAUGGUUCAAUAGUGAAAGACGGUUUUGCUGUCACUUAUAGAUGGAUCCGCGCCGCAUUAGCUAGUUGGUAAGGUAACGGCUUACCAAGGCAACGAUGCGUAGCCGACCUGAGAGGGUGAUAGGCCACACUGGAACUGAGACACGGUCCAGACUCCUAAGGGAGGCAGCAGUAGGGAAUCUUACGCAAUGGGCGAAAGCUUGACGGAGCAACGCCGCGUGAGUGAUGAAGGUCUUCGGAUCGUAAAACUCUGUUAUUAGGGAAGAACAAAUGUGUAAGUAACUAUGCACGGAUUGACGGUACCUAAUCAGAAAGCCACGGCUAACUACGUG
rnacentral:rRNA from 1 species